AUUGGCCAUCUUGCGUCCCCACGUGUGUGUACCUAAUCUCAGCUGGUCCACCCGAGACCUCUUGAGCACCAACCCUAGUCCCCCGCACGACCCCUUAUCCGCUCCGACAAGAUGAAAGAAACAAUCAUGAACCAGGAAAAACUCGCCAAACUGCAGGCACAAGUGCGCAUUGGUGGGAAAGGAACUGCUCGCAGAAAGAAGAAGGUGGUUCAUAGGACAGCCACAGCAGAUGAUAAAAAACUUCAGUUCUCCUUAAAGAAGUUAGGGGUAAACAAUAUCUCUGGUAUUGAAGAGGUGAAUAUGUUUACAAACCAAGGAACAGUGAUCCACUUUAACAACCCUAAAGUUCAGGCAUCUCUGGCAGGGAACACUUUCCCCAUUACAGGCCAUGCUGAGACAAAGCCGAUGACAGAAAUGCUACCCAGCCUCUUAAACCAGCUUGGGGCAGACAGUCUGACUAGUUUAAGGAGACUGGCUGAAGCUCUGCCCAAACAAUCUGUGGAUGGAAAAGCACCACUUGCUACUGGAGAAGAGGAGGAUGAAGUUCCAGAUCUUGUGGAGAAUUUUGAUGAGGCUUCCAAGAAUGAGGCAAACUGAAUUGAGUCAACUUCUGAAGAUAAAACUUGAAGAAGUUACUGGGAGCUGCUAUUUUAUAUUAUGACUGCUUUUUAAGAAAUUUUUGUUUAUGGAUCUGAUAAA